rnacentral:rRNA from 1 species
CAGCCGUAAACUAUGCUCGCUAGGUGUCAGGCAUGGCGCGACCGUGUCUGGUGCCGCAGGGAAGCCGUGAAGCGAGCCACCUGGGAAGUACGACCGCAAGGCUGAAACUUAAAGGAAUUGGCGGGGGAGCACAACAACGGGUGGAGCCUGCGGUUUAAUUGGACUCAACGCCGGACAACUCACCGGGGACGACAGCAAUAUGUAGGCCAGGCUGAAGACCUUGCCUGAAUCGCUGAGAGGAGGUGCAUGGCGUCAGUGACU